AAUAGUGUAAGAGUUGAACGCGCGCGCACGAAAACGCAUCAGAAAUUCACACUCACGAAGUUCGACUUUUGUACUAUAAUGGGACAAGAAGAUUUGAAGUAUUUACUUACGUACCACAUGCUACCGUUUUAGCAUCAUUGUUUUUACAAAAUCUCUCUCCCAUUAAGAGUGACUCGACGCCACGCUCUCGCCAUCGCGAAAUAACUAAAAGCGCCUACAACCGCGUAUCGAUUCUUCUCGCGUUCGACUUUAGAGCUUACUUAAUGGCGCGAUGACGAUUCUUACGAAUUUGAUAAUCAUCUAAGUAAAUUUUAUGUCGAUACAAUAUUAUCCACUUCGCAGCAUUCUCACUUUUUUCUCCCUCCCGCCCUUCCAAUCAUUCUUACUCCCUCCCUCACUACUUCUCUUUUUCUCUCUCUCUCUCUCUCUCUCUCUCUCUCUCCCUCUUUCCCUCUUUCCCACUCACUCACUCACUCAUUCACUCACUCACUCACUCACUCACUCUCCCUCUUCGUUUCUUUCUUUUCCUUUUCUUUCUAUCUCUCUUCCUGUCUAUUGCUCCCUCGCGCCUAUUUGCACAGCACGACAAGGGGAUUUCUGAGGAAACGAAAAACUCGGAACUUUCACUCGUCAAUGAGUUGGGAGAGUAUUGUCGAAGAAAACUUUUAUCCUUACUCACCAAGAUAGAUUAUCGAGAUGAUUAUCGUUGAUGUAUGUACUCGUCUUCAAAGACUUAAAAGUUACAAAUUAUUAAUCCUUUUGUAUCUCGUUUGCGUGAGCGAGUGUUUACUCUACAGAGAAUGGGACGUCGCAUAGCAGCAUUAUGGCGUUGCUGAACCAUCAUGGCGACGUGUUUAUGAGGUUCGCAUUUGCCGUAACUGCUAUACCAGCAAUCGCAUACGUCCAUCACAUUUCUCUUUCAUAUCGAAGACUCUUUUGAUACGUCCUCGUGUGCAUUAUUGGAAUGUUUAUACCAUCCAAAGAAACAUUUGCCCUCCUUGCUUUAGCAUUAUUAAUCACUUUUUGACGCACAUUUACAUACUCAUAGUUACGCACGAUGAUAACAGCGCGAUUCGAUAUGAUAAAAAUUAAUCAAAUGUAAGGACAAUGUGGACUCUUAUUUUCUUCGAUGAUUUUUGAUAAUUUUCUAUGACGCAAAUAUUGUUUUUAUCUCUUUGUGAUAUAUAAUUACCCAACUGUGUCUACGUUUUUCGAUAUCUUUUAAAUUCUUUAUAAUAUAGUUAGCAUAUAACAUUGUUUGUGUCUUAUAUGUAUGUAAAGCGCUGAUUGGCAAAGUCUGCGAAUGAGAGAAGGGUGGGAAAUUCGAAUAAUUGCAUUACCGAGAAAAAGAUAAGCGUUACGAAAUUUACUCAAAUUAUGAUAGUAGUAAAGAUGACGUGCCUAGAUUACCUAUUUUUCUGUUGUACAAUCAAGUCAACAUGUAGUUACGUCCUUUUUUCUGAGUCAUCUAAAAAGUAUACAUACGCAAACGUUAUGUGUCCGUAUACUACGUACGAAGAUAAAACUAAAACAAUUACCUUAAUGCUUCAUUAAUCACGAUAUUAAUCAUCGAUUAGAAAUAUUAUAAAACUAUAAAUUUUAUUUUCCUAUUGUAAGAAUAAUAUACAACUUAUAUACAAUUCUUUUAAUACACAUAUUGUUUUGUUAAUGCUCUUAAAAAUUUUGCUUUUCUUAUAUUUGCUGCUUCUCUCUGGAUUUCUUCAUUAUUAUUAGAAUUCAACUCUAACAGACCUAUGAUCUUAAUCUGAAAAUAAUGAUGAUCUGAAUAUAAUGAUGGAAGAAAGAAAAUGAAAGUAAUUUUUAUUAUAUUAUUAAUACUUACAGCAAGUUGCUUUCUAUGAUGUUCACCACGUUUAGUAUGUAAAUGAAUAAGAUAUUCCAAUAUUGUUGUAUCCCAAAUGCAAUGAUAAUAUGCAUCCAUUGCAUCUGCUGUUGUACAACUUUUUUGAUCGCUUCCUGCCAUUUUAAAUGCCAGAGAAUAAUCUACUUCUUCCAAAAAUUGACAUAAUAUAGCUGCUUGCGUAUAACAUUGCAAAUGAGCACAACAUUUAAUCAUUCUUCUGUAAACAAGAUCAUCUAUUUGUGCACGUGGUAUAGGUUGACUGAAAAAAUCGCUAGCAACCAUUAUUGCUUCUAGGUAAUAUUUCAUUGCACUUUCAUAAUAACCUAAAACUAUUGAAACAUUUAAUUAUUAGUAUCUGAAUAAAGAAGAAUUCUAUCUUUUUUACAUCAUCUAUUGUUUGUAUACUUACCAAAGUUAAGAUCACCUGUUAAUCUUAGCCAAGGAAUAUUAGUGGGGUGAUAUUUUAAGGCUUGCAUUAAUAAUUGAAAUAAUAACUCUCCAAUAUAUCUAAUAUUAUAAAAGUUAGUACUGAAAAUUGUAUACACAUUAUUAAUACAUAUUUAUAAUGUUAAAUAGAAUUAAGGAAUGUAAUAUUUACUUUAAUACUCCUGCUGGCCAGAGAGUAAGAUAUUGUGUAUGCAAUUCUAAACUAGAUUCAUCGCGUAAUACAUUACGUAAACGUGCUAGGAGAGAAAUAACAACAGUAAGAACCAUUGGUUCACGUAGUCUAUUUAAGGUUCCUAUUAUACUAGCACUGGCAUCUCUUGAUGCACUUCCAGUAGUAGUACCACUAUUACCACUACUGCUUCGUUUUUGUGGCUGGUCUCUAGGUGCUCCAAAAGCUGUCAAAACUUAUUUAUUAUGAAGAUUAUUUAUAUUUUCAUAAAAAAACAAUUAAAAUAUAGUAAUUUAUAUUAGUUAAUGAUAAAAUAUUUACUCAUAUCCCAUGCUUCUCUAGGAAAUUUCCGUGUCCCUUUAUAUUUAACAAUAUCUUGACAAACACUACUAAUAGCAGCUGCAAAUUCUGUAUAACUCCAUCGUUUUUCUAAACUUGUAAGAUAAUCCCAUUCGGCCAUAUUUAAUAGAAAAACAGUACAAUAUUCAAUUAUUUCUUGUCUUGGAAUAACUUGAUCAGUUGCUUGCAAUGCACCAAGACAUUGUUUACUUCUUGCAACUAAAUUUGAUAUAUUACCUAAAAUGAAACAAUUCAUGUUAUUACAGUUAAUUCCAUUGAGGAUUUAAAUUAUUUUUUUCAAUUUAUACUUACAUAUGUUUGUUGCUGGCCAGGCAUGGAGACAUCUCCAUAUAUCAACAAGUAAUGACUCCCAAUUUAUUAACUUAGAUAAUUUAUAAAUUAAUGUAUUUCCACUUUGUGAAUGUUGUUGUACUUCCUUCUCUAAAACAAGUAACAAUUCAAUAGCUCCUUCAAAGUCUUUAGAUAUUACUAAUUCUCUGCUUUUAGCCAAAAGAACAUAUGAAUAGUCUUGAAGAAAUCCUCGAGGAAGAGACAUAACAACACUUUGUAAUGGUAUAGGUAAUUCCCAAUAAUUGUUUAUAUGCCAUAAUGGCUUCAUACGAAGUUUGCUAUCCAAAAGUAGUAAAGUUUCAUGAAUUUCUUGACUAUCAUAAGAUUGUAUGAGUUUUUGUUCUAAUUCAAAAACUUCUAUCCCUGUAUUAUCUAUAAAUUAAAUUUAUAUUAUUUUUUAUGAAUAUUUAUAACAUUUGCCUAUAAAUUUAUAUGCUAAAUAUUUACAUGCAGAUCUCAUAGGUGUAAUGCCCCAGUCAUUAUUUAAUAAUAAAUUUGGUAAUUCCAUUUCUUCAAUAGAUGCCUUUUUUUCUAUUUCAUGUAAUUCCCUUUCAUUGAAAAGUGCUGUAUAAGCAGGAUCAUUAAGUAAUUUAGAUGCCAAUCCUUCUAAAUUACUUGUAUUUACAAGAUAAAGUAAAUAACGAGAGAUGUAUUUUUUGUCUACUAGAGUUGCUUUUUCCAGAACACUAUCAAGAGCCUAUAAAAUAAUUUUGUAAAAAAUAUAAUUAAUAACUUUGAUUUAAAUAAUUAUUUUUAAAUAUUAACUGUUUAAAAUCUUGCUUACCCAGAAAAGCACAUCAAGUCCUUUAGUACCAGCUGAUUGUAUUUCAGAAACAUAAUCUCCAAGAAUAACACUUUCAUUGAGUAUAUUACGAACUAAAUUCAAACAUUGAAUUUGUAAUAAUAAAUCACGAGCUACUACAAGUUUUCUAUUUACAGAUCCUCCUUGAAUAUCUAAUUCUAAAUUAUCCCUAUAGACUUUUGGUAUAUCUCUUGAAAUAUUAUCAGUUUGCAAAAUUUGCAAUAUAUUCUAAAAUAUGAUUUUCAUAUUAUAUCAAAGAAACAUUAUAUGAUUCCAAUCAUUAAUAAUGUAUACAUACUACAUAUUGAUCUUUGAUAGAAGACUGUAACUGUUGCGAUAGAGUGGACAUAAUACCAUCUAUAGGUACUUCACAAGCUAAACAACAUCCAUCUAAGAAUUCCUUUUGUAUCUUGCAAUAUAUCAAUGAAUCUGAGGUAUCAAAUUUGUAAAAUAUUUCUUUUGCUUGACCAACAUGGUUCUUUGCUUCUUGAUAUUCUUCUCUUAAUAAAUGAAAUACAGCCAAAUCAUAAUGUAUCUAAAAAAUAGUUGAAAAGUAAUAUAUCACAUUAUAAUUUUUUAACAAAUUACUUUUAUGUUUAUCUGAAUAUGAUACCUGACAUUUAACUUCUUCAAUAUUGAUAGAAUACAUAUUUUCCCAAUUUUGUUUAAUUUCUGUACUAUCUUCGGUAAGCAUUUGAAAAGUAUCAAAAGAGAGUGCUUUCAAUUUUAAAUCCGUUGAUUGUAAGACUGCAUUUAAAGUAUUAACACUAUUGGGUAUAUGUGUUUCUAAUUUUCUAAUAAUCUCAUCCACCAUACCUGAUGGUACGUAAGUAGAUUCCUGAAUACCUGGUCUAAAUAAAAAAAAAAAUAUUCAUAUAAUAACAAUAAAUAUACUAAUAUAUAUUUACUAAGAUAUACUAAUAUUAUUUGAAAAUUUUAAAGUCUUACAUAUGAAGAAACUGCUGUUUAGAUUGCUUAUUAUGCAGAGCUCUAUAAAUUAUUGCUCUUAUAUGCCACCUGUGAUAUAAGACAAUUGUGAACAGUGCUUGAUCAGAAACAUUAUGUAUAGAAAUAUCAGGAAUUGCAGGUAUUUCAACAAUAGCAUCUGUUGUUAUAUAGAACAAAUCUUGCAAUAAAGUUACUUGUAUUGGUAAAGGUAAUUUCUUUUCCAAUAUAUCUAAAUUCCAUUUUAAAUGCGCAGCUACUUUCAAAGAAAGAAUCUUUAAUGCAAGAUUUUUAUGUGACCAUUUUGUCAUGCUAGAUUUUGUUUCAUUUACUUCUACAUCUGUCGAUUUUGUAUCACUCUCCUUUUGAUCAGAAUUAAUUGUUAUAAAUUUAAUUAUCAAAUCAGUAGAUGAUGGGUCUAGGAGUAAAAAGAAUUCGAUUAAUGAAUGAUCAUUAAAUAUUUCUAUUUCUUUAAUUUAUAUCUAAUUAAACUAUGUUUACCUGGAUUGGGCUUUGAUAAAUGUUUCUGUAGUAAAGACGGAUUUAAUAAAAAUUCAAACCAAAGAAUUGUAUCUGGUGAAAUAGGAACCGUUCCUGGUCUUAACAAAUCUACAUCCAUAUUUCUUGUAUUAAUAUUAUUAAAAACAGAUUUGUACUGAUACGAGUUACAUUUACUGUAAAAACAAAUACGCAGGUUAGAUGCGUAGUUUAAGCCGCUCGGUAUGUAGUAUGCACAUACGUUCCAAAUAAUCUCUCCAUUUUUCGUUGUAAAUUAACUAAUUAUAUUUUUUUAUUGUCAAUUUUAUAUAUACAUAAAUUUUUAUAUUAUAUCAAUAACACAAAGAAUAUAUUUCAAAACAUUGUAAGAGUAGAACAACACACAUGAUACUUCACUGAUGCUUUCGAAGCAAAUGACGUCCUUCCUUUUCCUCUUCUAACCUUAUACAAUAAAUAAUAUAUAUAUAUACGCACUAUUUUAGUAACCUUAUACAAUAUAUAUAUAUACAUAUACACACUAUUAUGUAGUAAUAUGACAGUAAUACUGAUUAUCAUAUAAAUAUAAUAAUAAUAUAAAUUUGUGUUUAUAAUGUUAAUGAAAUAAGAUUUUGGAAAUAUAGAAUACUAUUAAUUUAUUAAUAAAACAUGCUUUUGAUCAUGAUUAUGAACUUUAUAAAACUUGUGAUUGGUCCGUUGUACUAUAUGAUUUUUGGCGAUCUACGUAACGCUUGUUUAAUCGAUGAAACUUAACUUUAUAUUUCAAAGGGUAAUUUUGCGGUAUGUAAAAAUUUGAAAGUGAUAUAUCUUCAAGAUAAUAAUAUAUCACAUAUAGAAAAUUUACAUUUUGCGACGAAUUUAACACAUUUAUAUAUGCAACAUAACAAAAUAAGGAAGUUAGAAAAU